AUGGAGUAUGAGAGGAUUCACAAGCCCCAGGCAGGCGCCCUUUCUCCCACAAAGCUGAGGAUGAAGCUCCUGGGAGCCCACAAUCGUGUGAGGGUCAUCAGCAGCAGCUCGUCGCGAACAUCGCCUUCAAAGAACGCCGAGCCAUCGCUAGCGCAGAACAGAUUAUUAGUAUGCGAUGUUCUUGACGAAGACAGCUCCGGUGCCACCAAAUGCCCUGCAGCAGUCAGCAACACCGAAGUUGUAGACAAGGAUCCAGCAGUAGAUAGCUACAAGGUUCAGAACAUGCCCAAGAGUUCAGUUCACCAACCCGCGCCGAGCAACUCAAGCAUGAUACAUCCUGUGCGAACGGUCGAGGAGGACAGCAACGAAUGCGACAGUGGUCUUGACGAUGCCAGCACCAGCAGCUUUGAGUUCCAUGGAGGCGAGAAGACCGCGGCGCAGAACCCAACGGCUGGGUACUUCUCUAGACAGGCUUCCUCCAAGUGGAACGACGCGGAGAAAUGGAUUGUGAACAAGCAGACUGUUCAGCAAAACACCGCCAAGGGCGCAUCGCAGAACCAGAGUGCGCACCAGGUGAAUUCCGCUGCGCCCAGGGGCGGUGGCAUUGUGCCCAAACACCACGGCGCAUUUGCUCGCCCCAUUCAGAACAUGAAGAGAUUCAACCCGGCUUCGUCGGCCUCUCGGAGCAUAUUAGAGAGGCUGUCUUUCGCUUCGCAUCAGCCAAAGUUGGUCAGGCACGCAGAUGUCUGUGCAGAUCAAGGUUCUAGCGCCAACUCAGAGUAUCAGAAGGGUCAAGCUGAAACCAAUUCGAUUGCAAUUAAGCCCUGCAAUGAUACUGAAGCUAUUUCUACAGUUCAGGCGGUGUCUGUGAGAGAUGUGGGCACAGAAAUGACUCCAAUACCAAGUCAAGAUCCAUCAAGAACAGGAACACCACUUGGGUCUGUGACACCGACUCGCAGCCCGAAUUGUUCGAUACCAUCAACUCCUGUAGGUGGACGAUCGACGGCAUCAAUAGGAGAAGACAAUGCAGAUGAUGGUCCUUAUUUCAACAGAAAAGGUGGCAUGAAUGAAUUGUCAGAGGAUGAAAUCAGGCUCAAGGCAAGGAAAGAAAUUGCUGCCCUAGGUGUACAACUAGGAAAGAUGAACAUCGCUUCAUGGGCUAGCAAAGAGGAGCUAGAAUUAGUCUCUGCGACGCCGAGCAUCGCUGAUCUGGAGAGGAUGAAGCAGGAAUAUGCUACUCGUGCUGCAGCAUUCGAGGACGCCGAAAAUUCUAAACAUACAGCACGAUUCAAGAAGGAAGAGCUGAAGAUCGAAGCAUGGGAGAGCCGCCAAAGAACAAAAGUUGAAUCCGAAAUGAAGAAGCUAGAGGAACGCGCGGAGAAAAUGAGAAGCGAGGCCAUGGCGAGGAUGGCCGAAAGGCUGGAGCUGGCACGCCGCGUGGCCGAGGAGAAACGGGCAUCAGCCAACGCCAAGAUGAACAAGCAAGCAGCUAGGGCAGUUCAGAAGGCCGAUCUGAUUCGCCAGACAGGAAGGAUUCCUGGGUCACGUAUCCUAUGCUGUGGCUGUUUCUGUGAACCUUAG
rnacentral:rRNA from 1 species